rnacentral:lncRNA from 1 species
GUUAGGCCAGUGAUUGAAGCCAUUGUAACAGUUCAGGCAGGAGUGGAUUGCACCUUGGACCUCUUGGUGUUGGAGAUGGAGGGAAGCAAAUGGAUGAACAAAUGGAUGUGGGAGAUAUUUUAGGAGGUAAAAUGAAAGGCUUGGAACAUCUUUUCUAUCCCCUGCUCCUGUAUUUAUUGGUUAGUGCUGCCUUAUAUUCUGAGGUCAAUUUCUGUCUUUUCAGGGACUCUUUUCCUGACAUUCCAGACUGUGUUAUACAGAAGCCCAAUAAAUGUUUGUGGAACUGACAUGAUAGAGAAAGUUCUUGUAAAGAUGGAAGAGAUUUGAGUGUGGAUAUGGACUAAGGAAAAAGUUCUAGCAGAGAGGUGAAGAUUGAAGAUGCUAAAGAGAGAAGUGAUGAAGAUAAUCAAAGUUCAGCCCAUUUCCUUCAGGUGCUCCUCUAUGUUGUCCUUGGACUCAUGGAGAGAAAGCUGGCCCUGAGCUCUUGGGGGCACUGCUCACCAGGAACUAAUUGACACAUGGAUUUGGAAGUUCAGUUGGCGAGUCGGCUGCUAUUUCACAGGCAUCCCCUUUUGCCCCUGAGAGUGGUUCUUCCAGCCACCAAUUUAAAGUGGAGGGAGAGGGACAAAAAACCACCUGCCAGGUAUUAUGCUUAUUACCUGGGUGUCAAAAUCAUCCAUACACCAAACUUCUGUGACAAGCAGUUUACCUAUAUAACAAACCUGCACAUGUACUCCUGAACUGAAAAUAAAAGUUAAAAAAAAACAAUAAAAUGGUAAAAAUGUCCCACAUGGGCAGUAGACAAUGACAGUUGUUGCUCUGGAGGUGGGAAAGGCUGAAUGGUGGUCUUGAAAUAGAUGGGACAUGGAAUACACACACAGGCGAGCACUCACGCUGCAGGGCAGAGGACCAGACACCUCUCAUGUGGACUCCUGCUGACUGGCGAACUCCCCUGUGUCUUCAGCCUCUUCCCCACACCCCAUUCCCCCACUGCCUUUUUUGGAAACAUGGCUAUUGCCUGAGGACAGCCCUGCUCUGGCAGCGGUCUC